rnacentral:rRNA from 1 species
UACGUAGGGGGCUAGCGUUGUCCGGAAUCAUUGGGCGUAAAGCGCGUGUAGGCGGCCCGGUAAGUCCGUUGUGAAAGUCCAGGGCUCAACCCUGGGAUGCCGGUGGAUACUGUCGGGCUCGAGUCCGGAAGAGGCGAGUGGAAUUCCUGGUGUAGCGGUGAAAUGCGCAGAUAUCAGGAGGAACACCAAUGGCGAAGGCAGCUCGCUGGGACGUGACUGACGCUGAGACGCGAAAGCGUGGGGAGCAAACAGG